rnacentral:rRNA from 1 species
GACAGAGGGUGCGAGCGUUAACCGGAAUUACUGGGCGUAAAGCGCGCGUAGGCGGUUUUGUAAGUCGGGUGUGAAAUCCCCAAGCUUAACUUGGGAACUGCAUUCGAGACUGCAUAGCUAGAGUAUGGGAGAGGGAAGUGGAAUUUCAGGUGUAGCGGUGAAAUGCGUAGAUAUCUGAAGGAACAUCAGUGGCGAAAGCGACUUCCUGGACCAAUACUGACGCUCAUGUGCGAAAGCGUGGGGAGCAAACAGG